ACGGAAGGCAGCAGUGAGGAAUAUUGGUCAAUGGGCGGAAGCCUGAGCCAGCCAAGUCGCGUGAAGGAAGACGGUAUUAUGUAUUGUAAACUUCUUUAGACGCAGAGAAAUAAGGGGCUUGCGAGCUCUGAUGCUAGUAUGCGUAGAAUAAGGAUCGGCUAACUCCGUGCCAGCAGCCGCGGUAAUACGGAGGAUCCGAGCGUUAUCCGGAUUUAUUGGGUUUAAAGGGUGCGCAGGCGGCGCUUUAAGUCAGUGGUCAAAUCGUGAGGCUCAACCUCAUCCCGCCAUUGAUACUGGAGCGCUUGAUUGCGGUUGAGGUAGGCGGAAUUCGUCGUGUAGCGGUGAAAUGCAUAGAUAUGACGAAGAACCCCGAUUGCGUAGGCAGCUUACCAAGCCGUAAAUGACGCUCAUGCACGAAAGUGCGGGGAUCGAACAGGAUUAGAUACCCUGGUA
rnacentral:rRNA from 1 species